GUAAGGGUUUUAAGUUUGGCUUCUGAUAUUUUGGGCUCUAGAAAGGUUUUUAACGCCGCGUGGUUGUUACAGUCGCCGUCACUAGGGUUUUUGCUCGCGACUGUCAUUUGGGGUUAUUGUUGGAGCUAUGGACGGGUCGAUUCGGAAUCGCAGCUGCUUCAUCUUGUUAUUUUGAGUCGUUGUGAUUGCUGAAAAAAUGGUUUAGAGCGGAGGUUGCGGCUGUCGCAGUUGCGGGCCGAGAGAAAAUGAGUUGUGAUGCGCUUUGGAGCUUUUGAGUUUUGACAAUCGAGGCAGGGGCUUUUCUAAAAAGCUAUUUUAUAUUUGGAAUUGUUAUAAAUAGAUACUGGUGUGAGAAUUAUAUACUUA